rnacentral:lncRNA from 10 species
AUGACCUUUAAAUAAACGACAAGAUAUUGUUUUGCCUUUGACUUGUGAGCUGCACUCACAGGAGGAACUUCUAAAUUAAGACUUUGGAAACCAAGAAGACAUUGAACAGAUCCAUCCCAGGACUCCUGAGGGGGCAUUUCACCUGCGAUCACCAACCUUUUUGGCGCUGGGGACCAAUUUUUUGGAACACAAUUUUUCCACGGACCAGGGAGCUGGGCGGAUGGUUUCGGGAUGAAACCGUUUCACCUCCGAUCAUCAGGCAUUCGAGUUUCAUAAGAGGUGCGCUACCUAGAUUCCUCGCAUGUGCAGUUCAUAAUAGGGUUCAGGCUUCUGUGAGAAUCUAAUGGUGGAGGCUCAUCUGAAGGGAGGCGGGGCUCAGGCUGUAAUGCUGCCGCCCAGUCCGCAGCCUUGAAGAUGGGGACCCCUGCUCUGUUGGAUGUGCUACUCUACAUCUCCUCCCAACUCCUUAUUCAAUGACACCAUAUUAGUAGCUAGAAGUGGAAGUAUUUACACCACAAACAUUAACAAGUGGUACUUUUUUUAUCUCUGAGAUGUCUCCUUGUUAAACAUUUUCCAGCGGACUACAGCCAGAAGUCAUUUAAGGCACUUUUUAUCUAUCCUCUUUCUGUCUAUCUACCUACCUGUCUAUUUAAUCUAUCUGUCUAUCUAUCUAUCUAUCUAUCUACCUAUCA